CUGGAGAGUCCAGACUGUAGACUGGAGUUUCUGGGUUCAAGACCAGUGUUUGUAGCAGAAAUUGUAGAAAAAGUCAGUGAAGCUGUGAAGGGGCUGGGGGCUGGGACCCAAGUGCAACUGGAAAAACCAGGCAGAAGAAUCGUCCACAAAACAAGAACUUUAAUCCAAAAGUAGACCAAGGUCAAAAUCCAAAAGGAGGAAAAUAGCAGAAGAGCUCAUAUACAAUAGUAGAGAUGUUACACUCCAAGCAGACACUCAACACAGUGUCGAGCUUUCAAAGCAGAAGUAUCGCCACAAGAGGCUUUGAUGCUUCACUUCAUACAGUGAAAAAUCACGUGACUCCUCAAAUGAAGCUUCACUAGGUCACACGCGUAUCGGCCAUGUGUCACUACAGUUUGGAAUUCAGGGCUGGGUUUUCUAUCUCAAUGCAUAUAAAUAGCCACAAUUCAUCAAAAUGUCACAAGGUUUUGAGAGGAGAGUUUUGCAUACGUCAUCGAUUUACAACCAAGCAGAGUGAGGUUUCAGGUGGGAGUAGUACAACAAUAGAUUAGCUUGUGUACUUACAUUGGCACAUAGGGAUUCACACAUUAUACAUAUAUUGACUUACAUACAUACAUACUAAGCACACAUACAGAGAAACAA